rnacentral:rRNA from 1 species
UACAGAGGCCUCAAGCGUUAAUCGGAAUCACUGGGCUUAAAGCGUGCGUAGGCGGACAUGCAAGCAUGUUGUGAAAUCCCAUGGCUCAACCAUGGAACUGCUUCGUGAACUGCAUGUCUUGAGACAAGUAGGGGUGGUCGGAACGAUAGGUGGAGCGGUGAAAUGCGUAGAUAUCUAUCGGAACACCGAAGGAGAAGUCAGGCCACUGGGCUUGUUCUGACGCUGAGGCACGAAAGCGUGGGGAGCAAACAGG